rnacentral:rRNA from 1 species
GACGAACGCUGGCGGCGUGCCUAAUACAUGCAAGUCGAACGCAUUUUCUUUCACCGUAGCUUGCUACACCGAAAGAAACUGAGUGGCGAACGGGUGAGUAACACGUGGGUAACCUGCCCAUCGGCGGGGGAUAACACUUGGAAACAGGUGCUAAUACCGCAUAAUUCCAUUUACCGCAUGGUAAAUGGAUGAAAGGCGCUUUUGCGUCACUGAUGGAUGGACCCGCGGUGCAUUAGCUAGUUGGUGGGGUAACGGCCUACCAAGGCUGCGAUGCAUAGCCGACCUGAGAGGGUGAUCGGCCACACUGGGACUGAGACACGGCCCAGACUCCUACGGGAGGCAGCAGUAGGGAAUCUUCGGCAAUGGACGCAAGUCUGACCGAGCAACGCCGCGUGAGUGAAGAAGGUUGUCGGAUCGUAAAACUCUGUUGUUAGAGAAGAACAAGGAUGAGAGUGGAAAGUUCAUCCCUUGACGGUAUCUAACCAGAAAGCCACGGCUAACUACGUG